rnacentral:rRNA from 1 species
GACGAACGCUGGCGGCGUGCUUAACACAUGCAAGUCGAACGGAAAGGCCCUGCUUUUGUGGGUUGCUCGAGUGGCGAACGGGUGAGUAACACGUGAGUAACCUGCCCUUGACUUUGGGAUAACUUCAGGAAACUGGGGCUAAUACCGGAUAGGAGCUCCUGCUGCAUGGUGGGGGUUGGAAAGUUUCGGCGGUUGGGGAUGGACUCGCGGCUUAUCAGCUUGUUGGUGGGGUAGUGGCUUACCAAGGCUUUGACGGGUAGCCGGCCUGAGAGGGUGACCGGCCACAUUGGGACUGAGAUACGGCCCAGACUCCUACGGGAGGCAGCAGUGGAGAAUAUUGCACAAUGGGCGGAAGCCUGAUGCAGCAACGCCGCGUGCGGGAUGACGGCCUUCGGGUUGUAAACCGCUUUCGCCUGUGACGAAGCGUGAGUGACGGUAAUGGGUAAAGAAGCACCGGCUAACUACGUG